rnacentral:lncRNA from 1 species
AGCAAAAAUUCACACACGUAAAAUAAGUAGACGUUUACGGUUUGGAUUUGUUCGUUUGGGUUCUGUUUGUUUGUUUAAACAAUAACCAAAAAUACAACCACUUGGAAGCAGGAAGGGAGAAAGAAAAGAGAGAUAGCGAGGUUCAAAAAGCUGAACCACGCUUCCCAGAAUGCUCAGGUCAAACCCCAGUGAGAAGAUGCCACGAAGAAGGAAACAGCCAACUCAGGAGUCCUGGGAUAUCUGAAAUCGAUAAGAAGGAUAGAGGCGGGCCAGAUGAGACCUCUUCAGAACAGAA